CAUGGUAGUGGAAGAAAUGGA
rnacentral:miRNA from 1 species